rnacentral:rRNA from 1 species
CCCGCACAAGCGGUGAGCAUGUGGUUUAAUUCGAAGCAACGCGAAGUAACCUUACCUAGGUCUUGACAUCCCGAUGCUAUUCUAGAGAUAGAAAGUUACUUCGGUACAUCGGUGACGAGGUGGUGCAUGGUUGUCGUCAGCUCGUGUCGUGAGAUGCUGGGUUAAGUCCCGCAACGAGCGCAACCCCUAUUGUUAGUUGCCAUCAUUCAGUUGGGCACUCUAGCGAGACUGCCGGUAAUAAACCGGAGGAAGGUGGGGAUGACGUCAAAUCAUCAUGCCCCUUAUGACCUGGGCUACACACGUGCUACAAUGGUUGGUACAACGAGUUGCGAGUCGGUGACGGCGAGCUAAUCUCUUAAAGCCAAUCUCAGUUCGGAUUGUAGGCUGCAACUCGCCUACAUGAAGUCGGAAUCGCUAGUAAUCGCGGAUCAGCACGCCGCGGUGAAUACGUUCCCGGGCCUU